rnacentral:misc_RNA from 1 species
GAUGAAGAACGUAGCGAAAUGCGAUAAGUAAUGUGAAUUGCAGAAUUCAGUGAAUCAUCGAAUCUUUGAACGCACAUUGCGCCCCCUGGUAUUCCGGGGGGCAUGCCUGUUCGAGCGUCAUUUCACCACUCAAGCCUCGCUUGGUAUUGGGCAUCGCGGUCCGCCGCGCGCCUCAAAUCGACCGGCUGGGUCUUCUGUCCCCUAAGCGUUGUGGAAACUAUUCGCUAAAGGGUGUUCGGGAGGCUACGCCGUAAAACAACCCCAUUUCUAAGGUUGACCUCGGAUCAGGUAGGGAUACCCGCUGAACUUAAGCAUAUCAAUAGCGGAGGA